rnacentral:rRNA from 1 species
UCGAGGAUCUUCGGCAAUGGACGAAAGUCUGACCGAGCAACGCCGCGUGUGCGAUGAAGGCCUUCGGGUUGUAAAGCACUGUCGAGGGGAAACAAGCCGUAAGGUUGAGUGACCCCUGGAGGAAGCACGGGCUAAGUUCGUGCCAGCAGCCGCGGUAAGACGAACCGUGCAAACGUUAUUCGGAAUCACUGGGCUUAAAGGGCGCGUAGGCGGGUGAUCAAGUCAAUGGUGAAAUCCUCCAGCUUAACUGGAGAAGUGCCUUUGAUACUGAUUGUCUAGAGGGAGGUAGGGGCAUGUGGAACUUCAGGUGGAGCGGUGAAAUGCGUAGAUAUCUGAAGGAACGCCAGUGGCGAAAGCGAUGUGCUGGACCUCUUCUGACGCUGAGGCGCGAAAGCUAGGGGAUCAAACGGG